UACGUGGGGGGCAAGCGUUGUCCGGAAUCAUUGGGCGUAAAGAGCGUGUAGGCGGCUCGGUAAGUCCGCUCUGAAAGCCCGGGGCUCAACCCCGGGAGGCGGGCGGAUACUGUCGGGCUAGAGUCCGGAAGAGGCGAGCGGAAUUCCUGGUGUAGCGGUGAAAUGCGCAGAUAUCAGGAGGAACACCAAUGGCGAAGGCGGGUCUCUGGGCCGUUACUGACGCUGAGGAGCGAAAGCGUGGGGAGCGAACAGG
rnacentral:rRNA from 1 species